GUUAACGUUACGGCAGCGAGGAAUUUGAACGUACAAAGAGUUAUUUUAUUUAAUCUUAUUUUAACGUUUAGUUUUUUUACCUAAAAUAUAGAAACACUGUUGUUGAUGUGUCUGCAUUAAAGCAUUUCAGUGGAGUUGAACAGAUUACCCUUUACAACAGAUUUAGUUCACAAACAAAUUGACAGCUUUGACCUCAGGAUUCAGUUACAAUAAUUAAUCAAAAAAUUUGAUAUUAGUGAAGUUACUUUUAGCAGCAUCUAUAGCGCGUGCUCACAAGAUCUCCCGGUUGGGAGUUCAGCAGUUCACUGGAGUCUCACACUAAAUGGUUCAUUUGAAUCAGGGAGUUGUCGACUUGAGAACAGCUGCUAUAGGAUCAUUCUUAUUCUUGAAAGAAUCGUUUGAUGCCAUUUGCGAACCGAUUUAAAAGGUUCACUUAAAAGUUUGUUCUUGAAUCAGACAUCGCUUCUACAUGUCGGAGCACAUGAUAUAAGGAGUAUCGAUAUGUUUUAUGAAUUGUAGUUAAGUAAAAGGUACGAUCUUAUGCAUUGGAAUUUAGUGAAGUAAAAGUAACUCAAAAUAAAACUACUCCAGUACAGUACAAAUACUUGAACAAUGUAUUUAAAUACAGUAAUGAAGUAAAACUACUCCGUUACUGUCUACCACUAUGAGAAUUUUACCAUUAUUUGCCAUUGCAGUGGCCACAAACAUCAAUAGCAGCCAUCCUGAAAUCAUCUUCAGUCACUAAAAAACAGCAACAUCUUUCCUGCUUAAGUGGUUCUGAUGAUAAUCAGGUUAACCAGCACCAGCUGAGCGUUAACUCCGUAAACAGCCGCUCUUUGUCAAUCAGGAGGGUUUAUGGAACUCUCACCAAAGGACCACAACAGACUGAAUUCGUUCUCCCGUCUUUCCGGCGGAAUUUACAACCGCUGUGCCGGAUUGGGAAUUACACGCCGCCACAGGUACAUCCAUCGUGGAACUCACCGUGACCCCUUUGUGAGGACUUCGACUGUGUCUCAGGAUAAUUUUCCCAUCCCUGUCAUCUGGUCGCCACAUCGCCGCUCUUCCGUCAGAUCAAAUGGUAAGAGUCAGGGUGUCAAUCUUGAAAACAUUUGUUUGCUCAAACACGCGCCUCUCACAUCUCGGCAUUCUGUUUGCCCUGCUACUGUAAAGAUGGCCUUAGUGAAUGCAAGGUCAAUAUUGAACAAAUCUUUUAUUUUAAAUGAUUUGUUUACAUCUCACUUCUUAGACUUUUUAUUUGUGACUGAGACCUGGUUAAAACAGGGUGACUUGUUGCCUCUUGCCAAAAUAGCUCCUCCUGACUGUGCUUUUUUCAGUUCUCCACGGGCUUCUGGACAUGGUGGUGGAGUUGCAACAAUUUUUAAAAACUGUUUCAAAUGUAAGUCUGUGCCUACGGACACCUUUUCCAGUUUUGUAGUCCAGUUACUGAAG
rnacentral:lncRNA from 1 species